UUGGUAUCUUAGUGGCGGACGGGUGAGUAACGCGUGGGUAACCUGCCUUACACUGGGGGAUAACACUUAGAAAUAGGUGCUAAUACCGCAUAACAGGGAAAGAUGCAUGUCUUUUCCUUAAAAACUCCGGUGGUGUAAGAUGGACCCGCGUCUGAUUAGCUUGUUGGCGGGGUAACGGCCCACCAAGGCGACGAUCAGUAGCCGGCCUGAGAGGGUGAACGGCCACAUUGGGACUGAGACACGGCCCAAACUCCUACGGAAGGCAGCAG
rnacentral:rRNA from 1 species